GUUAGCGGCCUGCAAUUUUGAGUAAAUUACGUUUAUCUUAAGUUUUGCAUAUGACAAGCUUCCCAAAAACAAAUGACUUCACGAGGAGGGAUUUAUGUUUUCUCUGCCUUUGGAAAGGAUAGAAAAACUAUUCUUAUCAGAGUCAAUAUACUGUCAGCAGUUGACGAGCUUCAAGGAUCAAAGAACUCAAUGACAUAUUCUGGGGUGAGGUGUGUCAACAUUUGGGAAUUGCCAGUAUAAAACUCCACAAAACAAGGCUUAAACGAGCCUAUUUUCGUCACAGAAAGAAUAAGAUUGCGAGUGCUUCUAGAGUUGCAGAACAAGAAGCAGGCAGCACCAGUAACGUCCAAUCUGAUGGAGGAAGCGAAGCUGAAGCUGAAGCUGAUGCUGGCAGCACCAGUAACGUCCAAUCUGAUGGAGGGAGCGAAGCUGAAGCUGAUGCAGGCAGCACCAGUAACGUCCAAUCUGAUGGAGGGAGCGAAGCUGAAGCUGAAGCUGAUGCAGGCAGCACCAGUAACGUACAAUCUGAUGGAGGGAGUGAAGCUGAAGCUGAUGCUGGCAGCACCAGUAACGUCCAAACUGAUGGAGGGAGCGCAGCUGAAGCUGAAGCUGAUGCAGGCAGCACCAGUAACGUACAAUCUGAUGGAGGGAGUGAAGCUGAAGCUGAUGCUGGCAGCACCAGUAACGUCCAAUCUGAUGGAGGGAGCGCAGCUGAAGCUGAUGCAGGCAGCACCAGUAACGUACAAUCUGAUGGAGGGAGCGCAGCUGAAGCUGAAGCUGAUGCAGGCAGCACCAGUAACGUCCAAUCUGAUGGAGGGAGCGCAGCUGAAGCUGAAGCUGAUGCAGGCAGCACCAGUAACGUACAAUCUGAUGGAGGGAACGAAGCUAAAGCUGAUGCUUGUAACAAUUGCGAUCAUCACAACGCUAACAUAAUAGUUGGCCAGGCCCCGGAGGAUUCAAUUCGACUCCCAAUACUGCAUCGCUGCCUGAGCCAUGUAAUGAAAAAUGCCAAGGACCUUUGCAAAAAACAUGCCCCAAAACAUUACCACCUAGCAAUGCAUACCUUCGGUGCUAUGGCUCAGGCCACAACAAUUGAAGAGCUUGAAGAAAUCAUUGUCAGUGCUGCUGUUGUGUUCUCAAGUUCCCACAGUGGCCAAAAAGUUGACAAACAUUUCAAAAACCUUCAGUUGAUAAUGACACAAGGAGGAAGAACUGACAUUGAGGACUCAUCCAUUGUGGAGCUGGAUUUUAUGAAUGAUGUGGGAGUAACAUCAUUCCAACGAGUGAUUAAGCAGGAGGAAGGAGACAAGGACGGUGAGCCCAAUAUGUAUCUUAGUCCAACAUUCAUUCCUGCAUUAACAAAGUUCUUCAUACCUCAGGCUGCCUUGUGGACUGGACUACUCUUGGGUAAGCCUACUUUUUUGGGUUCUGUAAGAGCUAUUUCCCCUGGUUAUUUAGAGAAAUUAGAUAAAUGAAGGAGCAAUGUCUAAACAGGUGAUCUUGGACGUCAUGGAACAGGGCCAGUCUAUGAAAAAUUUACACAGAGGUUCAACAGAGCAGCUCAGAAAACAACCCAAGUAAAGCCAAUAUAAAAAUAUUACAUAUUACUUAAAAAUGCAUUUUUUAAUUUAAAAUGUGACUUAUAUAACACCCUGAAAUAUAAAUAUAUAAAGCAUGUUGAAAUAAAAAUUUCCUGCUAUCAUAUCA
ensembl:lncRNA